UACAAAUUCCUUAGAAGUCACAAUAAUGCCUACAAUUCUUUCACAUGUGUAAUAGAAAGUUCGUUGGAACUGUGACACACUCGAUGUACUUUGGGCAUAGACGAAUUCAAUCCACCUUAAUGCACUCAAGAAUUGUAAGAUUUCUUACCUAAAAUUUCGAGAACUUAACAUCCUGAUAACGUUUGAAUAUAAACGGUGCAACAACGCAGUUAAAAAUUCAGUAACAAACAGAUAGGUGCGCUGUAAAGAUAUAGGUGUCUACCUGGUCCAAUUGUUGUCAACUAAUUAUUUUAAAGCUUUUUCCCCAGAGAAAGGAAACAUCAUGAGUGACGGAGCCAAAAGAAAUGUUUCUGCUUCAGACGUUCAACUGGAUCGCAGUACCAUCAUCGGUAGAGGAAGAAGCGCAAUCAUCUUUGCCGGAACUUUUGGCAACAUUCAAGUCGCCAUUAAACGAGUCAUGUCUACGGACUUGCAUCCACAAUGGGAAAAUCAGCCUGUUGACGCUUGUUUCAAUAAGAUAACGGCCCUGCAACACCCCAGCGUUUUGAAGAUUACUGGUAUCUAUGACGACGAACACUUUCGGUAUCACAUCAUGGAGCACUGCGCCGCCAGCCUUUUCGAUUACUGUUGCAACACGUACAAAGGAGAAGUUCCCAGUCAGGCGGACGGACUUUACCAGAUGGUCAGCGGAUUGCAUUACAUCCAUUCGCAGGGAUUCAUUCACCGGAACAUUAAACCGGAGAACGUUCUCAUCUCACAGUCGAUCCAUUUGAAAAUAUCGGAUUUCGGACUGACUGCUCCGAUUUCCGCCAGGGCUAGUUUUUCAAUGAGCAGCAGCACCAGGACAUCUCCCAACAUGCAGGCGCCUGAAAUCAUUCAAAGUGACGAAGAUUAUUCCAGUGUGGAAGAGAGCGAAGCCAAACAUAACGUGGCCAGCGAUACCUUUUCACUGGGAUGCGUUUUGUUCACUUUCCUGACUAAAGGAGGUCACCCGUUUCUCAGCGGAGGAUCUCGCCAUUUUAUCGCCAUCAACAUCAUCGAAGGGAAAUAUGGUUUCUCUGGUUUAGAUGAACAGCAUUUUGCUAUACCCAUCAUCGAAAAAAUGAUCAACAAAAUCCCAGAAGAACGAAUUCAACUAGAUCAAGUUUUAAAGACGUUAAAACCACACAUUAGUAGUGACUAACAACAACUAGGGUUGUCAACGGAGCAAUCUUCUCCUCUCUCCCACAUGGAUGAAAGAUUUGUUCGGAAGAAUCCGAAAUUUCUAGUAAACCAGAAAGUUCAGUCCCCUUGGAAAAUGGAGAAUGAAGGGCAAGUAUCAUCGCCUUCCUUUCCUGGAAUUUUAUUUGCGCUGAUUCACGAAUUCAUCGUGCACCGAAUAUAUUUAGAUUUCCCUAGCGGAAUGGAGUUGGUUGAUACGUUGGCAAUCUUAUUACGAAUAUAAAUUAAAGAAGUAAACCUAGUUCAGUUAUCAGUUCGGUAAUACACUUUUUCUUCUCAAAAUUGUCAACUAUUAUUCAUUUUUUACUUCACCAGCUGUCAAAUAUUCGAAAUUGGCGCUUAAUUCUAAUUUCCUAUUUGGGUUGUAUUGGUGACGUUACGAUUUGCUUUCAUGUGGACGUGGCUCAGCUGGAUAGCUUCAGCUUGUAACGUGUAGGGCAAAGCGUUCAAGGCCUAUGAUGACCAAAAUCUGUAUUCCGUCUGAUAUCAACUGAUUACAAAAUGGAUCCAAUUCCUGAGGCAAAAUGUCAAUUUUUUUUCAAAUUUCUUAUUUUAUUGUUGUCUAAUAAUUAAUAAGGGGUUUAAGUUCAUCAGACUCUGCCAUAUUUGAGUAGAUUCAAAAAUUGAAUAAAUAUGAAAGUACAUCAAAGCUUCAACAAAAUCAAAUUAAAAUGCUGGAGGAAUGGAGGAUCGAACUCCAGGCUUUUCGCAUGCAAAGCGAACACUCUACUACUGAGUUACACCCCCGACAUUUUCAGUAACUGCAAACUAAGAAAAAUUCGGAUACAGUUUGUGUUGAUAUGUUUGACAAGAAGAAUGGAUUUCCCAUUUUCAAGCCAUGUUCAGUUUUAUCUCAUUGAUUUCCGCUCUACUUCUACAACCGCGGAUUUUCCUCAUUAUAACGCUCCGAUUAACUGCCGAAUUUUUCGUGGUAUUCAACUAAACUCGCAUCAUAUUUUUACUAAAAUAUUCCAUAUCAAACAUUUCAUGGUUUCCUGGGUCGACCGCUUUUGUAUCAACGCUGAGGUUAAAUUAUCGUCCGAGUUCUGUUCGUUCUGCUGUUCUGUUCGUGUUCUGUGUGUUACUACAAGAUCAGCGCAAAGGCUAGCAAUAAAAUGACAUCCAUUUUGAACCCGAUCAUUCCGUUUUGUGUUAGUUUGCCUGGAAAUAAACUUAAUACCGGCCAUGACGUAGUUGUUGGGGGCGAAGCAUUUUACGGGGCCCAAAGGUUCUCCAUCAACUUUAUCCAGUCCAGCUCACAAACUCGUUUGUUUCAUUUGGAUUUCCGCUUCGAUCAGAAUGAGACUGUCCUCAACUCAAACUAUCCGAAUGGAUGUUGGGCUCAAGAAGAGCGCACGCCUUUACCUCUCAUCUUGGGAAAGAAAUUCAACAUCGAGAUCAAGUUCUCGGCUGAUCGUUUUGUGAUAAUAGUUGAUUUCCAGUACCACUGUGAUUUCGUUUAUCGUUUCGACAUGUCUGAGGCCGACGCGUUGCUGAUUGAAGGCGACGUCAAUAUUAACUCGAUUCAGUUUAACUAACGUCGUUUUUUUAUCGACACCUGUCAAAUAAACGAUCUGUGAAAAACACUA
rnacentral:misc_RNA from 1 species